AAAAUGACUCUCGGCAACGGAUAUCUCGGCUCUUGCAUCGAUGAAGAACGUAGCGAAAUGCGAUACUUGGUGUGAAUUGCAGAAUCCCGUGAACCAUCGAGUCUUUGAACGCAAGUUGCGCCCGAAGCCAUUAGGUUGAGGGCACGCCUGCUUGGGUGUCGCAC
rnacentral:rRNA from 1 species